CCCCUCCUUUCUCUCUCCUCCACUUUCUUAGAUUUCAUUCAGGAUGGUACUUCGGUACUCCUAAGUUCAGCAUUAUUGGGCAACAUUUGGGGGUCUUUGCCUUUUGGCCAAAAUAUCACCCCAGGGUCAGUCUAUCGACCCCAUCAUUAGGUUUUGUAUAUAUUUAUAUCUUAUGGUCAUAUUUGGCACUAUAUCGCACAUCUUUUUAGGGAAGCCUAUUAAGAUGUACUUGGUCAACCAUACACUGGGGGCAGCAUUC
rnacentral:lncRNA from 1 species